UACAGAGGGUGCGAGCGUUAAUCGGAAUUACUGGGCGUAAAGCGUGCGUAGACGGUUAUUUAAGUCGGAUGUGAAAGCCCCGGGCUCAACCUGGGAAUUGCAUUCGAGACUGAAUAGCUAGGGUGCGGUAGAGGGAAGCGGAAUUUCCGGUGUAGCGGUGAAAUGCGUAGAUAUCAGGAAGAACACCAACGGCGAAGGCAGCUCGCUAGGACGGUACUGACGCUGAGACGCGAAAGCGUGGGGAGCGAACAGG
rnacentral:rRNA from 1 species